AGCUUUGCUCAGUGGCAGUAUUGUAGCCAAUAAGGUUUAUCCGAGGCGCGAUUAUUGCUAAUUGAAUUCACUGUGUAGCCUAGGCUGGCCUAAAACUCACAGCAAUCUUCCUGCCUCAGCCUUCCAAGUACUAGGAUUACAGACACCACCGUGCCCAGGCAUCAUGUACUUACUCUUAAAUCUAGCUAUUUGGGGUAGAAUUUAGGUAUAGGAGAGAAAUUAUGUACAUCUAUUCAGUGGA
rnacentral:snRNA from 1 species